AUGAACGCUGGCGGCGUGCCUAAUACAUGCAAGUCGAGCGAACAGACGAGGAGCUUGCUCCUCUGACGUUAGCGGCGGACGGGUGAGUAACACGUGGAUAACCUACCUAUAAGACUGGGAUAACUUCGGGAAACCGGAGCUAAUACCGGAUAAUAUAUUGAACCGCAUGGUUCAAUAGGGAAAGACGGUUUUGCUGUCACUUAUAGAUGGAUCCGCGCCGCAUUAGCUAGUUGGUAAGGUAACGGCUUACCAAGGCGACGAUGCGUAGCCGACCUGAGAGGGUGAUCGGCCACACUGGAACUGAGACACGGUCCAGACUCCUACGGGAGGCAGCAGUAGGGAAUCUUCCGCAAUGGGCGAAAGCCUGACGGAGCAACGCCGCGUGAGUGAUGAAGGUCUUCGGAUCGUAAAACUCUGUUAUUAGGGAAGAACAAAUGUGUAAGUAACUAUGCACGUCUUGACGGUACCUAAUCAGAAAGCCACGGCUAACUACGUG
rnacentral:rRNA from 1 species